rnacentral:rRNA from 1 species
GACGAACGCUGGCGGCGUGCUUAACACAUGCAAGUCGAGCGGUAAGGCCCUUUCGGGGGUACACGAGCGGCGAACGGGUGAGUAACACGUGGGUGACCUGCCCUCAGCUCUGGGAUAAGCCUGGGAAACCGGUCUAAUACUGGAUAUGACUCCAUGACGCAUGUUGUGGGGUGAAAGCCUUGUGCGGCUGAGGAUGGGCCCGCGGCCUA